ACUCCUCGGUAUCGUUUCGGGUCCGAGGAUCAGUUGGGGUACUUUUGGGGAUCAUUUCGGGUCCUGGGAUCGUUUCGGGUCCUGGGAUCAUUUCGGGUCCUGUACAAUUCCCCCUGGAGUGAUGCUUCCGAUUCUUACUCUAUUGAGCACUUAGCACUCGAAUGGGUUCUAGGGGCAAGUCCCAACUUGUCCUUCGUGGCCUCUGCAGGAGCUUGGAACAGUGGGAACAAUCGAGACUCAGUUUGCGAUCUCAUCAGGAGCAAAAAGACCUUUAAGAUACGAUGGAAUCCCGGGAUGCGGUACUUCUCGCAAUCGUUAUCACCAACACAAUACUACUUCUAUUUAUUCUUGUGCUCCUGCUUCGACGGAAGCGGAAUCAGAUAAUUAAACUAGUAUUUGAUCAGAAACAACCGGCGCGGCUCAACAAGCAGGACUAUACUAGGGGAAGAUACGUCACCUAUUAUAGUCCCCCCACCGGAUGGAACCCUGGAACUUCUAGUGUACUAACCAUUACACUAACUGACGGUUGAAGAUCUUCCCUAGCCAAGUCUAACUGGAAGCUACGUUUUCUUGCUUACUUUAUUACAGACCACGUGGUGCUGUGAAGUGUCUCCAUCAAGAAUCGUAUACAAAAAGACAGGAGCGAAAAAUGGCAAAGGUCAAAUUGUAAGGUCGGGUUAGCUUAUAAUCGCUUAAUUUUUUAAAUAGAUAUUUCUUGUGUUAUAAAAACCAAAAUAAGCUUUAGUACUUUUUGGUAGAUAAUCCUUUUUGAGAUAUUGCAAAUUGCAAGACUCUUGAUUUGUCUGAAAUUGCCCAUUUUGGGAGAAAUUGCUUCUUUUUUCAUGAUUUAUUGCAACUUUGCUCAAUCAUAUCUCAAGAACGAAUCAUCUACCAAAAAGUACCAAAGCUCGAUAUUACGUAAGGAACCUCUAGGCAAAAUGUAAGCAAAAUAUAAGCUAACACAACUUUACAAUUUGAAUUUUGCCAUUUUUUGCUCUGGUCAUUCAAGAACACAAGUACAUUCGCAUAACCAUGAAUAAAGUAGCACACAAAGUGACAUGG